rnacentral:tRNA from 1 species
GGGGGAGUAGCUCAGAUGGCUAGAGCGUUUGACUGGCAGUCAAGAGGUCGUGGGUUCGAUUCCCAUCUUCUCCACAA